UGGGGAAUCUUCCGCAAUGGACGAAAGUCUGACGGAGCAACGCCGCGUGAGUGAAGAAGGUUUUCGGAUCGUAAAACUCUGUCUUUUGGGGCGAACGUGAGUAUGGUGAACAAUCAUAGUCAGUGACGGUACCAAAGGAGGAAGCCACGGCUAACUACGUGCCAGCAGCCGCGGUAAUACGUAGGUGGCAAGCGUUGUCCGGAAUUAUUGGGCGUAAAGAGCGCGUAGGCGGGAUAGUCAGUCUGUUGUAAAAGUGCGGGGCUCAACCCCGUGAUGGCAAUGGAAACAGCUAUUCUUGAGUGCAGGAGAGGAAAGUGGAAUUCCCAGUGUAGCGGUGAAAUGCGUAGAUAUUGGGAGGAACACCAGUGGCGAAGGCGACUUUCUGAACUGUGUCUGACGCUGAGGCGCGAAAGCCAGGGGGAGCGAACGGGAUUAGAUACCCCGGUAGUCCUGGCCGUAAACGAUGGGUACUAGGUGUGGGGGGUAUCGACCCCUUCCGUGCCGGAGUUAACGCAAUAAGUACCCCGCCUGGGGAGUACGGUCGCAAGACUGAAACUCAAAUGAAUUGACGGGGUCAUAGCUGUUU
rnacentral:rRNA from 1 species